rnacentral:rRNA from 1 species
UACGUAGGGUGCGAGCGUUAAUCGGAAUUACUGGGCGUAAAGCGUGCGCAGGCGGUUCGACAAGUCCGAUGUGAAAGCCCCGGGCUCAACCUGGGAAUGGCAUUGGAAACUGGCGAGCCUGAGUGUGGCAGAGGGGGGUGGAAUUCCGCGUGUAGCAGUGAAAUGCGUAGAGAUGCGGAGGAACACCGAUGGCGAAGGCAGCCCCCUGGGCUGACACUGACGCUCAGGCACGAAAGCGUGGGGAGCAAACAGG